CGGCCGCUGAUUGGUCCGCCGGAGCUAGGUGGGGCUGGCCCUGAUGAGGUCACGUGAGCACUUUCCCAAGAUGGCCGCCCGGUUGUUUUGAUGAAUAAUCCUGUGUGAGGCGGCGGGUUCGGCGGACUCGGCUUUCGGUGUUUCCGGUUACGGAAGGAGCUCGUGUUCGCUGUCGGCCGCACUUCGCGCACUUCGUGGCCGCUUUCUCGCAGGGUUUGACGGCAGACGAUGCAGCUCUAGUCCCGGAGGGC